UACGUAGGGUGCGAGCGUUAAUCGGAAUCACUGGGCGUAAAGGGCGCGUAGGCGGCCAUUCAAGUCGGAGGUGAAAGCCCAGGGCUCAACCCUGGAAUUGCCUUCGAUACUGUCUGGCUAGAGACCGGAAGAGGUAAGUGGAACUGCGAGUGUAGAGGUGAAAUUCGUAGAUAUUCGCAAGAACACCAGUGGCGAAGGCGGCUCACUGGCCCGAUACUGACGCUGAGGCACGAAAGCGUGGGGAGCAAACAGG
rnacentral:rRNA from 1 species